rnacentral:rRNA from 1 species
CACGGGGUUGCGAGCGUUGUCCGGAAUUACUAGGCGUAAAGGGUGCGUAGGUGGUUUCUUAAGUCAGAGGUGAAAGGCUACGGCUCAACCGUAGUAAGCCUUUGAAACUGGGAAACUUGAGUGCAGGAGAGGAGAGUGGAAUUCCUAGUGUAGCGGUGAAAUGCGUAGAGAUAUGGAGGAACACCAGUGGCGAAGGCGGCUUCCUGGUCUGUAACUGACACUGAGGCGCGAAAGCGUGGGGAGCAAACAGGAUUAGAUACCCUGGUAGUCCCUGAG